UACAGAGGGGGCAAGCGUUGUUCGGAAUUACUGGGCGUAAAGGGCGCGUAGGCGGCCUGUUAAGUCGAACGUGAAAUCCCCGGGCUCAACCCGGGAACUGCGUCCGAUACUGGCAGGCUUGAAUCCGGGAGAGGGAUGCGGAAUUCCAGGUGUAGCGGUGAAAUGCGUAGAUAUCUGGAGGAACACCGGUGGCGAAGGCGGCAUCCUGGACGAUGACUGACGCUGAGACACGAAAGCGUGGGGAGCAAACAGG
rnacentral:rRNA from 1 species